GCCGAUCUAGUAUAGUGGUUAGUACACUUCGUUGUGGCCGAAGAAACCCAAGUUCGAUUCCUGGGAUCGGCA
rfam:Pichia guilliermondii ATCC 6260 scaffold_3 genomic scaffold, whole genome shotgun sequence.